CACACAGGUGCUGCAUGGCUGUCGUCAGCUCGUGUCGUGAGAUGUUCGGUUAAGUCCGGCAACGAGCGCAACCCACGUCUUUAGUUGCCAGCAUUCAGUUGGGCACUCUAAAGAAACUGCCGGUGAUAAGCCGGAGGAAGGUGUGGAUGACGUCAAGUCCUCAUGGCCCUUACGGGUUGGGCUACACACGUGCUACAAUGGUGGUGACAAUGGGUUAAUCCCAAAAAGCCAUCUCAGCUCGGAUUGGGGUCUGCAACUCGACCCCAUGAAGUCGGAAUCGCUAGUAAUCGUGGAUCAGAAUGUCACGGUGAAUACGUUCCCGGGUCUUGUACACACCGA
rnacentral:rRNA from 1 species